AUAAUUUAGGCUUGCCUGUAGUAGAAUAACACAGUAUUAUGGUUUAACAUGUGCUCCUUUCUUCUGAAUUGCAAGUUUUCACUUGUUUGAUUGACUUAGUUCUUGACAGCAAAUGUUCCUGCCUUGAGAAACAGAUUUACACUUGGCCGAAAGAAGAAAUGUUUCCAGAAGAUGCUGAAUUACAAGCCUUCAACAUGAUGACUCUAUAAUUCAUCAGCUGCCUUGGGAGACCUAUAAUAAACUGAUGCUUGUCCUGCU